GUCUCGGUCUCUCUCCCUCUCCCUACUCUCCCCUCAUUUCCAUAUACUCUGUCUGUGUUUCUGCCCCCCGUCGGUCUCUCCAUCUUCCUUUCUCCCUCUUUUCCCUCCCUCCAUCUCUGUCUCUCUCUCUGUCUCUCUCCCUCUCUCUGUCUAUCUCUGAGCCUCUGUUUAUCUCUGUGUCUCUGUCUAUCUCGGUGUCUCUGUCUCUCUCCCUCUCCCUCUCUCCCUCCUUCCAUCUUCUCUGUCUCUGUUUCUGCCCCCCCGUCUGUCUCUCCAUCUUCCUUUCUCCCUCUUUCCCUCCCUCCAUCUCUGUCUCUCUCUCUGUCUCUGUCUCUCUCUGUUCCUCUCUCUCUCCUCCUCUGUGUCUCUGUCUCUCUGUGUCUCUCUCUGUCUCUCUCCCUCUCUCUGUCUAUCUCUGUGUCUCUGUCUAUCUCUGUCUCUCUGUCUCUCUCUGUCUCUCUCUCCCCUCCUUUCUCUCUCUCCUCUGUGUCUCUGUCUCUCUGUGUCUCUCUCUGUCUCUCUCCCUCUCUCUAUCUCUGUGUCUCUGUCUAUCUCUGUGUCUCUGUCUCUCUCCCUCUCCCUCUCUCCCUCCUUCCAUCUUCUCUGUCUCUGUUUCUGCCCCCCCCGUCUGUCUCUCCAUCUUCCUUUCUCCCUCUUUCCCUCCCUCCAUCUCUGUCUCUCUCAUAAGCAUUUAUAUGUAUCUACUAGAUGCCUCCUAACAACCACACAAUAGGGAGCUGUCGGGAUCCCCAUUUUACAGGUGAGGAAACUGAGGCAAACCCAAGUUAGGUGACUUGCCCAGGGUUACACAAGUGAGGUUGUUGGUCAGAGUUGACCCCGGGUCCAGCGUUCUUUGGACUGUGGUGCUCCCGGCUGCUUUGGUGGAUUUGGAAUGGGAGAACCUGGAGGCGGAGAGAGCAGGAGGCUAUUGAAGGAGUCGGGGGAGAAGGGAGAAGGGCUCGAACAGGGAGCUCCAUGAGUGGAGAGAACGGGAUGGAGGCUGGAGCCCCAGACUGGCUCCGGGGAGGGCGGAGGGGCGGCAGCAGUGGAGGAUGGGCCCGACGUUCCAAACGGGGGGCUGGAAGGAUGCUGGCACCCUCCACAGGAGUAGGCAAGCCUGGAGGAGGGGUGGGGUGGGGGAGAGGCUCUGCACAGGUGGGGCCACAGAGGGAGAUGGUGCCCCUGAGACCCCGAGAAAGGAGCAGAUGCAGAUUCUGGGCAGAGCAGGCACGAUGGUGGAGGGAAGGGUGGCCCAGCUUGCUGUCAGAGGGUGCGAGGUCCUUGUAGAAGCCUGGCUCUGGCCCUUGGCUGCCCCUCGUGGUGACUGUGUGAUUGUGGCCUAGUCACUGGCCUCAGCGUCCUCAUGCCUAAAAGCAGGGGGCUGGAAUUGCUGCCGUCCCAAGCCUCUAGGGAGGAUGAGGAACUGGGCAGUCCUAGGACUUGUCUUCCCCACAUCAUUUCAUGACUGCCUUGGGAUCUUCUGAUGGAAUGGAGGCCUGGGUUCGAAUCCUGACUUUGACACUUCCUAACAUGGGGACACGUGCCUCCUUCACAGGACCGGUGACGUGGGUUCAGGAAAUGUGCCGCUCUGGCACUUAUUAUUAACAGCAGGAGCAGUGAUUCCGGGAGCGCCAGGUGCCCAGAUGGGUGUGCCCCGCCCUGAAUAAGGGCCACCCUUGUCCAGGUUCCUUGGGAGCCCACGGGAGCCCUCU
ensembl:lncRNA